ACAGUGAAGAGGAAGAAGAGGUGAAUGCAGAAGUUGCAGAAUCUACAGGACCCUGCUGUGUUCCGAUGAAGAGCAAUGAAUACAUGCCACAGUCACCCCUAAGUUCAGUAAUGGAACAGCGACAUUUAACCCCAGAGUAAAAAGAAAAAGAGCAGCACAACCAGAACCCAGCUGCUUUUCUAUAAAGAGUGACACAUCCAUGCCAGAACCCCUUAGUUUUGGAGAUGGAGCAGUGACCUUUGAGACCAGAAGAAAAAGAGCAGCACAACCAGAACUCCAGCUGCUUUUCUAUAAAGAGUAACACA